rnacentral:rRNA from 1 species
UACGGAGGGGGCUAGCGUUGUUCGGAAUUACUGGGCGUAAAGCGCACGUAGGCGGCUUUGUAAGUUAGAGGUGAAAGCCCGGAGCUCAACUCCGGAACUGCCUUUAAGACUGCAUCGCUUGAACGUCGGAGAGGUAAGUGGAAUUCCGAGUGUAGAGGUGAAAUUCGUAGAUAUUCGGAAGAACACCAGUGGCGAAGGCGACUUACUGGACGACUGUUGACGCUGAGGUGCGAAAGCGUGAGGAGCAAACAGG